UCUGUCACUAGUUACUCAGGAGAGGACAUGAAAAAUUUCACUAUGUGACAACUGCAGCCCAUUCAGAGCCAUCAGUCCCCGUACUGUACACAUCACCUUCUGUCCUGAUCUCCCCCCUGCACUGUUUCCUACCCC
rnacentral:lncRNA from 12 species